rnacentral:rRNA from 1 species
UGGGGAAUAUUGCACAAUGGGCGCAAGCCUGAUGCAGCCAUGCCGCGUGUAUGAAGAAGGCCUUCGGGUUGUAAAGUACUUUCAGCGGGGAGGAAGGUGUUGAGGUUAAUAACCUCAGCAAUUGACGUUACCCGCAGAAGAAGCACCGGCUAACUCCGUGCCAGCAGCCGCGGUAAUACGGAGGGUGCAAGCGUUAAUCGGAAUUACUGGGCGUAAAGCGCACGCAGGCGGUCUGUCAAGGCGGAUGUGAAAUCCCCGGGCUCAACCUGGGAACUGCAUUCGAAACUGGCAGGCUAGAGUCUUGUAGAGGGGGGUAGAAUUCCAGGUGUAGCGGUGAAAUGCGUAGAGAUCUGGAGGAAUACCGGUGGCGAAGGCGGCCCCCUGGACAAAGACUGACGCUCAGGUGCGAAAGCGUGGGGAGCAAACA